rfam:Anolis carolinensis unplaced genomic scaffold chrTn0083, whole genome shotgun sequence.
CUAGGAGCACCAAAAACACUUCUAGACCGACUGGGGUGGGGGGGCGGGAGGGGAGGUUUAUGGCACUUUUGGCAGUCAACUUCAGCUUGUCUCCGAGACGCAGACACUAAGGAGAGCGAGCUGACCAAGACUUUCAAGAGAGGCACCAGCCUGGCCGGAUCCCUCACCCGUGGAGGCCCAGAACCAGAACCGCGACAUCUUUGUGCUUUAGGGUAAAACAAGGGCAGGUCUGAGAACAU